rnacentral:tRNA from 1 species
GCGGAGACGUGGCGGAAGGGCUGGCGCGGCGGCUCGGGACCGCUGACGCGGUGUUCGUCGGGCUGAGCGCCAUGAUCGGCGCGGGGAUCUUCGCG